GAAGCACCGGCUAACUCCGUGCCACGCAGCCGCGGUAAUACGGAGGGUGCGAGCGUUAAUCGGAAUUACUGGGCGUAAAGACGCAUGCAGGUGGUUUGUUUAAGUUCAGAUGUGAAAGCCCGGGGCGUCAACCUCGGAAUAGCAUUUGAAACUGGCAGACUAGAGUACUGUAGAGGGGGUAGGAAGUUUCUAGGUGUAGCGGUGAAAUAGCGUAGAGAUCUGAAGGAAUACCGGUGGCGAAGGCGGCCCCCUCGGACAGAUACUGACACUCAGAUGCGAAAGCGUGGGGAGCAAACAGGAUUAGAUACCCUGGUAG
rnacentral:rRNA from 1 species